UACGUAGGGGGCGAGCGUUGUCCGGAAUUAUUGGGCGUAAAGAGCGUGUAGGCGGUCCGGUAAGUCCGCUGUGAAAGUCCAGGGCUCAACCCUGGAAUGCCGGUGGAUACUGCCGGGCUAGAGUCCGGAAGAGGCGAGUGGAAUUCCUGGUGUAGCGGUGAAAUGCGCAGAUAUCAGGAGGAACACCGAUGGCGAAGGCAGCUCGCUGGGACGGUACUGACGCUGAGACGCGAAAGCGUGGGGAGCAAACAGG
rnacentral:rRNA from 1 species